rnacentral:rRNA from 1 species
UACGUAGGGUGCAAGCGUUGUCCGGAAUUAUUGGGCGUAAAGGGCUCGUAGGCGGUCCAUCGCGUCGGGAGUGAAAAGCUGGGGCUUAACCCCAGUCCUGCUUCCGAUACGGGUGGACUAGAGGUAGGUAGGGGAGAUCGGAAUUCCUGGUGUAGCGGUGAAAUGCGCAGAUAUCAGGAGGAACAUCGGUGGCGAAGGCGCUCUGCUGGACCAUAACUGACACUCAGGGACGAAAGCUAGGGGAGUGAAUGGG